rnacentral:tRNA from 1 species
UGGUUCAGUGGUAGAAUUCUCGCCUUCCAUGCGGGAGACCUGGGUUCGAGUCCUGG